rnacentral:rRNA from 1 species
CAGCCGCCGCGGUAAUACGUAGGUGGCAAGCGUUGUCCGGAAUUAUUGGGCGUAAAGGGCUCGCAGGCGGUUUCUUAAGUCUGAUGUGAAAGCCCCCGGCUCAACCGGGGAGGGUCAUUGGAAACUGGGAAACUUGAGUGCAGAAGAGGAGAGUGGAAUUCCACGUGUAGCAGUGAAAUGCGUAGAGAUGUGGAGGAACACCAGUGGCGAAGGCGACUCUCUGGUCUGUAACUGACGCUGAGGAGCGAGAGCGUGGGGAGCGAACAGGAUUAGAUACCCCGGUAGUCCCUGUCUCUUAUAC